AAUGAAUUAGUUAAUAAACAAUAACAUUAAAUUGUCAUUUUAAAAUAAUUCUUCUAAAAUAUUCAUUU
rnacentral:tRNA from 1 species